GGGGAUCUGUUCCGAGCUUCUUUUCGCUGAAAAAGGCCGAAAAGAAUUGAGGGCUGAGGAGGUGAAUGGGGAUGCCAUUAUACAGUCGGGCCAUCCUGUACGCUCUAAUAGAUUUGAUCCCUCACGCGUCGUUCAACUCUCGUGGCGACCAAGGGUUUUCUUGUAUAGAGACUUUAUGUCAGCAGAAGAGACUGAUCACUUAAUCUCUUCGGUGCAUGGAAUGAGAAAUGGCUCCACAAUUGAUAAUGCUUCUGUGGAUGCAGUGAAUUUUCCAACUAUGGGUAUUCCUGUAGAUGCAAAGGAUCCUACUUCCUCAAGGAUCGAAGAAAGGAUCUCAGCUUGGACCUUUCUGCCAAAAGGAAACAGCAAGCCAUUGCAUGUUCUGCAUUCUGGACGUGAGAGUUCAAAGGGGAAUUAUAGUUAUUUUGAGAUGAACUCCACACUCAAGUUCAGCGAACCAUUAAUGGCGACUGUCAUUUUGUAUCUAUCAAAUGUGACACAGGGUGGUCAGAUCCUCUUCCCUGAGUCAGAGAAUAAGAUAUUGUCUGACUGUACGAAGAGUAGCGACUCCCUGAGACCAACUAAAGGAAAUGCAAUUGUGUUCUUCAAUG
rnacentral:misc_RNA from 1 species